rnacentral:rRNA from 1 species
CCUACGGGUGGCAGCAGUGGGGAAUAUUGGACAAUGGGGGGAACCCUGAUCCAGCCAUGCCGCGUGUGUGAAGAAGGCCCUCGGGUUGUAAAGCACUUUCAGUGAGGAAGAACGCCUUGUGGUUAAUACCCAUCAGGAAAGACAUCACUCACAGAAGAAGCACCGGCUAACUCCGUGCCAGCAGCCGCGGUAAUACGGAGGGUGCGAGCGUUAAUCGGAAUUACUGGGCGUAAAGCGCGCGUAGGUGGCUUGAUAAGCCGGUUGUGAAAGCCCCGGGCUCAACCUGGGAACGGCAUCCGGAACUGUCAAGCUAGAGUGCAGGAGAGGAAGGUAGAAUUCCCGGUGUAGCGGUGAAAUGCGUAGAGAUCGGGAGGAAUACCAGUGGAGAAGGCGGCCUUCUGGACUUACACUGACACUGAGGUGCGAAAGCGUGGGUAGCAAACAGGAUUAGAUACCCCGGUAGUC